rnacentral:lncRNA from 1 species
GCAGCGGCAUCAUUUUGGGCUUUGCCUGCUCUCACACCCUGCUGGAAUUUUCUUUUACCACACCAUCAUGGGUAGUGCCUACCACUGGGAGGCCCGGCGUCGGCAGAUGGCAUUGGAACGGAGGAAGGUGCUGAUGGCACAGCAGCAACAAGAGCAGAAUGCAAAAAAGCAGGAAGAGAAGAAACAGCAUUUUGAGAAAACAUCUCAGCCACACCAAGAUUCAAAAGGACCCCAACAGGAUUCAAAAGGACCCCAACAGGAUUCAAAAGGGCCACCGCCUGCACAGCCAGAGCAACAAGCACAGCCACAGGAGAAGGCACAAGGACAGCCACAGCCGCCUGGGCCAAAGUCACAAAAGGAGCAAGACCCACCUACACAGAGCAUCUUCAAGGAUGGUCUCCAAAAAGACACCCAAAGGCAAGGACCCCAGACUAAGCCAACCGGAGCUCAACAAGAUGGCCAGCAAUCCUGUAGAGUGUGCAGUAAACCCCCCAUCCUUCCAGGCCGCGUCAACUAAUUACAUCCAGCAGUGGUGAUCCAGAGACGGACUCCAAGACUUGAUGAAAGUGAAUAAAAACAAAACCCAAAAAUCAACCAAACAAAAAACCCAAGCACCACCAAACAAACAACAACAAAAAAAACCAAACCAGACAGCAACCACACUUUCUUUCCACCCAGCAAUCUUUCAAAUCCAAAAAGCCAGUUGCAUUUGGAAAGGAGGCUAGCUGGAAUUAAAAUGUAAUUCCUGGAAAGAACCAAGAGACUGGUUAAUGAGCACAGGAGGAGGGAGGAGGGCAGAAGGACCCACAGUGGAGGUGAAAGACGGAAGAGCAAGCCCAUGCUGUUUGUGGCCAAGCCUAGGGAGAACAUGGUCUUGAGCCCCCACCCCCAUGCCCACCCCAAGCUUGCCCUUCCUACAACUAUGACCACUGUUCCUUAUUGGGAUGACAGGCUUCAUGGCUUGUUAAUGAGCAUC